UAUGAAGGGUGCAAACGUUGCUCGGAAUUAUUGGGCGUAAAGCGCACGUAGGCGGCUUUGCAAGUCGGAUGUGAAAUCCCUCGGCUCAACCAAGGAAGUGCAUCCGAAACUGCAGAGCUUGAGUACUUAAGAGGAUCGCGGAAUUCCCGGUGUAGAGGUGAAAUUCGUAGAUAUCGGGAGGAACACCAGUGGCGAAGGCGGCGAUCUGGGAAGAUACUGACGCUGAUGCGCGAAAGCCAGGGGAGCAAACGGG
rnacentral:rRNA from 1 species